rnacentral:rRNA from 1 species
GUCUACAGCCAUACCACCCUGAACGCGCCCGAUCUUAUCUGAUCUUGGAAGCUAAGCAAGGUCAGGCCUGGUUAGUACUUAGAUGGGAGAAUGAUGUGAAUUAUUAAAAAAAAUGUGGGAA